rnacentral:ncRNA from 1 species
UCUUAUCAAGAGAGGUGGAGGGACAGGCCCUAUGAAACCCAGCAACCGGUAUAUUAUUUAUAUACAAGGUGCUAAAUCCUGCAGUACGUUACUGAAAGAUAAG